GCAAUACAUUUUAUUUGCCACAGAAGCGAUAGCCAGAGAUGGCGGCAUGCCUCGAGAUUUUCUGUCAUUCCCAAGCAAGGAUUCCUCUCUGACUGAAUGUUUUCCCCUUGAGGGCCUUCCAGUGACUUGACACCUUACCAACACGGUGUGCUUGCAAUGCCAAGGCGGAUCUUUCACAACUCACAUCCUCUUGGAUUGUCUGGUGGAGUGCCAAAUCUUUACCAGCAAACAUCCUCCCUGAACUCCCCGGGAACGAUAUAUAAGCAAGCCUAGCCUACUACUGGACAUUCACCCAGAUAUCACCAUGAGGUCCAGCCUCUUCUUCUUUUCUGUGGGACUCCUCGCUCUCGGGGGAAACCUGCCCAGGACUUCUGGCCAGAAGGUUACAGGUGAUACACCCGGAGUCCUCGACAGCUUCCCUCCUCCCUCGGAAAAACUGCCUUUGGAGGAAACAAUCUUACUCACGUGCCGCAUACAAGGAUUCUUCCCUGCAGAGGCCAAUAUAAGAUGGUUCCGAAAUGCCGAAGCCGCAGCAACUUCAGUCAAAUCGAUCAGCGAACCUGGGAGACCAGAGAACUUCAGGUCUAGCCUACUACGCCUCGAUGUUUCAGACUGGGAUGAAACAGCGGCAUACUAUUGUGUUAUGGGAAAAGAGACCUUUCCCUCCUUGACAUUUCAGCAGGUCCCAGACCAGGACUCUGGCAAGCCCUCGGCCUCCAACAAGUCCCUCUUCAGGUCCCGCUUCCAGGAGGCUGAAGAAGACUCAAGUGUGAUCCUCAGCUGCGUAGUGGAAGGGCCCCAUCCUGACAACCUCUCCAUCACGUGGCACGAGAAUGGCAGACCCCUGACUGGAGACAACAGCAUCAUCCACACCAGCAGCGAGCCUAACGUUUUUCUCAACAGCAGCCUGAAAAUCUCUGGUGAUGCAUGGAAUUCGGCAAAGGCUUUCUCAUGCACCAUUGGUCAGCAAAAUUCCACACACCCGUAACGCCAGUGAGAAAUCUCCGGGUGAAGAAUGAAGACCAGUCCCUGUCCCAACAUCGUGGCCUUUUCCCCCAGCACAGAAUUGCCUCUGCUGCAGUCAGAUCAAACCCUGUUUGACCCCCAUGCACCCCUUUGUAGUCAAUAGCUGUAUAAAACAGAAGCCCUAUGAUUCAGUCCCAGA